UGUAUUUAUUAGAUACAAAACCAAUGCCCUUCGGGGCUCUCUUGGUGAUUCAUGAUAACUUCUCGAAUCGCACGGCCCCGCGCCGGCGAUGGUUCAUUCAAAUUUCUUCCCUAUCAACUUUCGAUGCUACGGUAUUGUCCUAGCAUGGUUGCAACGGGUGACGGAGGGUUAGGGCUCGACCCCGGAGAAGGAGCCUGAGAAACGGCUACUACAUCCAAGGAAGGCAGCAGGCGCGCAAAUUACCCAAUCCCGAUACGGGGAGGUAGUGACGAUAAAUACCGAUACAGGGCUCUUUUGGGUCCUGUAAUUGGAAUGAGUACAAUUCAAAUCCCUUAACGAGGAACAAUUGGAGGGCAAGUCUGGUGCCAGCAGCCGCGGUAAUUCCAGCUCCAAUAGCGUAUAUUAAAGUUGUUGCAGUUAAAAAGCUCGUAGUUGAAACUUGGGCCUGGCUGGCGGGUCCGCCUCACCGCGUGCACUCGUCCGGCCGGGCCUUCCUUCUGAAGAACCUCAUGCCCUUCACUGGGCGUGUUGGGGAACCAGG
rnacentral:rRNA from 1 species